rfam:Pseudomonas brenneri strain RGCB 108 Contig001, whole genome shotgun sequence.
UUGCGCAAGCACUGUUUAUUGACGCAAUCUUCGCAAUCAUCUGUCGGGCCCUCACGCCUAUGAUUACCAACAGAAUCACUGCCCGGACAUAGAGUCCACAGCAGCCCGCCCAAUCAGGCCGGCUGCGGCCCGCCAACCCCACCGGGUUGUGCCGGCCCCCGGGCUGCACACUGUCCACAAGACGGCGUGAGGUGAGCCAACGUCAUAAGCGUUGAGCCAGGACGAAGUUCUCAAGGGGCGACCGACGGGUCGCCCC